rnacentral:rRNA from 1 species
UAAGCGACUAAGCGUACACGGUGGAUGCCCUGGCAGUCAGAGGCGAUGAAGGACGUGCUAAUCUGCGAUAAGCGUCGGUAAGGUGAUAUGAACCGUUAUAACCGGCGAUUUCCGAAUGGGGAAACCCAGUGUGUUUCGACACACUAUCAUUAACUGAAUCCAUAGGUUAAUGAGGCGAACCGGGGGAACUGAAACAUCUAAGUACCCCGAGGAAAAGAAAUCAACCGAGAUUCCCCCAGUAGCGGCGAGCGAACGGGGAGGAGCCCAGAGCCUGAAUCAGUGUGUGUGUUAGUGGAAGCGUCUGGAAAGGCGCGCGAUACAGGGUGACAGCCCCGUACACAAAAAUGCACAUGCUGUGAGCUCGAUGAGUAGGGCGGGACACGUGGUAUCCUGUCUGAAUAUGGGGGGACCAUCCUCCAAGGCUAAAUACUCCUGACUGACCGAUAGUGAACCAGUACCGUGAGGGAAAGGCGAAAAGAACCCCGGCGAGGGGAGUGAAAAAGAACCUGAAACCGUGUACGUACAAGCAGUGGGAGCACGCUUAGGCGUGUGACUGCGUACCUUUUGUAUAAUGGGUCAGCGACUUAUAUUCUGUAGCAAGGUUAACCGAAUAGGGGAGCCGAAGGGAAACCGAGUCUUAACUGGGCGUUAAGUUGCAGGGUAUAGACCCGAAACCCGGUGAUCUAGCCAUGGGCAGGUUGAAGGUUGGGUAACACUAACUGGAGGACCGAACCGACUAAUGUUGAAAAAAUUGCGGAUGACUUGUGGCUGGGGGUGAAAGGCCAAUCAAACCGGGAGAUAGCUGGUUCUCCCCGAAAGCUAUUUAGGUAGCGCCUCGUGAAUUCAUCUCCGGGGGUAGAGCACUGUUUCGGCAAGGGGGUCAUCCCGACUUACCAACCCGAUGCAAACUGCGAAUACCGGAGAAUGUUAUCACGGGAGACACACGGCGGGUGCUAACGUCCGUCGUGAAGAGGGAAACAACCCAGACCGCCAGCUAAGGUCCCAAAGUCAUGGUUAAGUGGGAAACGAUGUGGGAAGGCCCAGACAGCCAGGAUGUUGGCUUAGAAGCAGCCAUCAUUUAAAGAAAGCGUAAUAGCUCACUGGUCGAGUCGGCCUGCGCGGAAGAUGUAACGGGGCUAAACCAUGCACCGAAGCUGCGGCAGCGACGCUUAUGCGUUGUUGGGUAGGGGAGCGUUCUGUAAGCCUGUGAAGGUGUGCUGUGAGGCAUGCUGGAGGUAUCAGAAGUGCGAAUGCUGACAUAAGUAACGAUAAAGCGGGUGAAAAGCCCGCUCGCCGGAAGACCAAGGGUUCCUGUCCAACGUUAAUCGGGGCAGGGUGAGUCGACCCCUAAGGCGAGGCCGAAAGGCGUAGUCGAUGGGAAACAGGUUAAUAUUCCUGUACUUGGUGUUACUGCGAAGGGGGGACGGAGAAGGCUAUGUUGGCCGGGCGACGGUUGUCCCGGUUUAAGCGUGUAGGCUGGUUUUCCAGGCAAAUCCGGAAAAUCAAGGCUGAGGCGUGAUGACGAGGCACUACGGUGCUGAAGCAACAAAUGCCCUGCUUCCAGGAAAAGCCUCUAAGCAUCAGGUAACAUCAAAUCGUACCCCAAACCGACACAGGUGGUCAGGUAGAGAAUACCAAGGCGCUUGAGAGAACUCGGGUGAAGGAACUAGGCAAAAUGGUGCCGUAACUUCGGGAGAAGGCACGCUGAUAUGUAGGUGAAGUCCCUCGCGGAUGGAGCUGAAAUCAGUCGAAGAUACCAGCUGGCUGCAACUGUUUAUUAAAAACACAGCACUGUGCAAACACGAAAGUGGACGUAUACGGUGUGACGCCUGCCCGGUGCCGGAAGGUUAAUUGAUGGGGUCAGCGCAAGCGAAGCUCUUGAUCGAAGCCCCGGUAAACGGCGGCCGUAACUAUAACGGUCCUAAGGUAGCGAAAUUCCUUGUCGGGUAAGUUCCGACCUGCACGAAUGGCGUAAUGAUGGCCAGGCUGUCUCCACCCGAGACUCAGUGAAAUUGAACUCGCUGUGAAGAUGCAGUGUACCCGCGGCAAGACGGAAAGACCCCGUGAACCUUUACUAUAGCUUGACACUGAACAUUGAGCCUUGAUGUGUAGGAUAGGUGGGAGGCUUAGAAGUGUGGACGCCAGUCUGCAUGGAGCCGACCUUGAAAUACCACCCUUUAAUGUUUGAUGUUCUAACGUUGACCCGUGAUCCGGGUUGCGGACAGUGUCUGGUGGGUAGUUUGACUGGGGCGGUCUCCUCCUAAAGAGUAACGGAGGAGCACGAAGGUUGGCUAAUCCUGGUCGGACAUCAGGAGGUUAGUGCAAUGGCAUAAGCCAGCUUGACUGCGAGCGUGACGGCGCGAGCAGGUGCGAAAGCAGGUCAUAGUGAUCCGGUGGUUCUGAAUGGAAGGGCCAUCGCUCAACGGAUAAAAGGUACUCCGGGGAUAACAGGCUGAUACCGCCCAAGAGUUCAUAUCGACGGCGGUGUUUGGCACCUCGAUGUCGGCUCAUCACAUCCUGGGGCUGAAGUAGGUCCCAAGGGUAUGGCUGUUCGCCAUUUAAAGUGGUACGCGAGCUGGGUUUAGAACGUCGUGAGACAGUUCGGUCCCUAUCUGCCGUGGGCGUUGGAGAACUGAGGGGGGCUGCUCCUAGUACGAGAGGACCGGAGUGGACGCAUCACUGGUGUUCGGGUUGUCAUGCCAAUGGCACUGCCCGGUAGCUAAAUGCGGAAGAGAUAAGUGCUGAAAGCAUCUAAGCACGAAACUUGCCCCGAGAUGAGUUCUCCCUGACUCCUUGAGGGUCCUGAAGGAACGUUGAAGACGACGACGUUGAUAGGCCGGGUGUGUAAGCGCAGCGAUGCGUUGAGCUAACCGGUACUAAUGAACCGUGAGGCUUAACCU